rnacentral:rRNA from 1 species
GACGAACGCUGGCGGCAUGCCUUACACAUGCAAGUCGAACGGACCUAGCAAUAGGUUAGUGGCGAACGGGUGAGUAAUACAUGAGCAACCUGCCUCAAACAGGGGGAUAACACCGGGAAACUGGUGCUAAUACCGCAUAAGACCACAGCGCGGCAUCGCGCAGGGGUAAAAACGAUUCGGUGGUUUGAGAUGGGCUCAUGUCCCAUUAGCUAGUUGGUGAGAUAACAGCCCACCAAGGCGACGAUGGGUAGCCGACCUGAGAGGGUGAUCGGCCACAUUGGGACUGAGACACGGCCCAGACUCCUACGGGAGGCAGCAGUGGGGAAUAUUGGGCAAUGGGCGAAAGCCUUACCCAGCAAUGCCGCGUGAGUGAAGAAGGUCUUCGGAUUGUAAAGCUCUUUGAUCAGGGACGAACACAAUGACGGUACCUGAAGAACAAGCCCCGGCUAACUACGUGCCAGCCGCCGCGGUAAAAC